GUAUCAAACCAAAUGCAACGAUAUUCAUUUAUAUGCAUUAAAAAUGUGCUCGCAUCAAAUGUGUGACAGUAACUAUUGUUAGUAUAAACAACUAUCGCGAGUGAGUGUUUGAAGCGUGAUUUGGGCGAUUAAUUGGCUUUAUUGUCAUUUCAAAAACGAUUUUGUGUGUUCGGAAUGCUGUUCCCUGUGGAAUGGAUAUAUUCACAUUUGGUUUUGUGACUCUCUUUGUUUUAAUUUCGAAAUAACAGAGUGUUGAUAACAUUUACUGUGAACAUUCCAACAACAUUUCGAUCGGCAAAAUAUUUGAUGUCACAUUGAAAAUAAAUUUCAUCAUUCGAUUUAGAAUACAGAGUCACUUUAUUGAGUUCUGUCACGAUGAGAAGAAAUAGAUCCAAGAAUGGGCGCAGUACGUCAUUGAAGAUGACUCUAAAUCAAGUGCUGCGCGAAGAGUAUCGUGCACCAUUCAUCGAUCAGGUCACAUACUGGUGCCUUUCGGCCACAAUGAUUACGACUCUGGCGUCAUUACUAUUUUUUGAAUACACGAAUGAUCAAUUCAAUAAAUACGUGAAUGGUGUAAUUUGUAAAUGUUUCAACUCGGUAUUACAAGAAAAUUACCACAAAUUACCGCUGUGGAUUUCGACGUACUGUGGAUCAAGCAUGUCCUGAUUUUCUUCGUCCAGAAAAUUGGCCAGCUCGUGAGGGCAUGGGGGAACGCAUUCAAUCAUCUCAUAACAAACGUGAAAAAUAACAUCAGCGUAUGGGCAUUCAGUCGCAUCAAGAAAUUUUUCACGCUAAAGCGCUAUGAACUGAAUUUGAAUCGACAAGGAAACCUCAUUACUGAAUUGGAUGUGAAACGUGCGACGAAGAUCGUAAUGUUCCAGAGUAGAGUCGGGAGAAACGCGAACAUCGAUCUUCUAUUAAACGAAGCAGCAGGCAUUGGAUUGCCAAUCAACGUAGACUUCCAGAAUCUCAUUCGUGAUCGCUGGUUCCAACCAUCCCAAUAUUUAUAAACAUUCAGCGACAAAUUUUCGAUGGAGUUCGUACAUGGAACGCUACCGUUCGCAAACACGUUCGAUCCGGCAACGAGGAAAACAUCACAAUUGAUGGUCCGAAAUACCAUUUCAAAGCGAAAUAUGGCAAACGCAAGCGUAAUUCCGAUCAAUGGACUGAAUUGUUGCAAAAACAACGGGAGCUUGACUCUAAACGCUAUGCAUUUUUUCCAUCACCGAAAGGACGUUCACAUUGGAUGUGUUACAUCGCUUAUGACUGACGAAAAAAAAGUCGGCGCUCGUUUUUAUUGGUACGGCUCAAAUAGCUCCAAACUCAUCAAUUGGUAUUAAAAAGCGAUUGCGAUGCCCGGGAUUGCGAUGACUAUUGAACAGAUUCAAGAAGUUGGGAAAUUGUAUCGUACGAUUGGUUGACGAAUACAAUACAUCGCAAACUUAUGCAAAGUGUUUCCGGCCAUUCGAUCGACGAACCAAAAGCGAUCGUUACAAAGUUUGUCAGCAUUUUAUAAAAAGUGAAGAUGAGUCAUCGCAAUGGAAUUUACCAAACGUGAUUAUCACCAUGGAAAGCAACCAAGUGUACCAACAAUUGCGUAAAUAUGCAGUUGAUUUUGUUAAUCGAUUGAAUCCAGCCAACCCAGAUCAUAUUCCAAUGGAUUCAGAUGGUUUUGUGUCAAAACUUCAAGUAUGUUUCAAAAACUGGCAACUAAACACUGGCAUUUGGAAAGAUGAUCGAGCUCCAUUUCAAAUAAAAACGGUUUGGCACCGGGAUAUCGUUGCAGCCAAGAACAUCAUGUACAAAGGUCUUUGUACGGUGUUGGGAUUGGACAUUCAUCCGCAACUAUUGAGACCACAGAAUCAAAAUGCUGCCGUAAAAAAUCAAGCAGCUGACGAUGAAGAUUCCAGUCACGACGAGGACAACGUUUAUGUUCUCGAUGUUUCCAAUGACGACCAGUUUUAAUUACAUGUAGCAUUAAGAUUUCUUUUUAAAAAAUAUUAUUGUAACGUUUUUUUACUAUGCUGGGCUUGAGUUUUGUGGCCUUGACCGAAGUACGGGUAGUUCGGUAUA